CAGCUAUAUCACGUUAAAACACCGGUUCGAGUAUGAUCAAUGUAGUUAAGCAACGUCGAGCCUGGUCAGUACCUAGAUGAGUGACCGUUUGGAAAUACCAAGUGCUGUAAG